rnacentral:rRNA from 1 species
CGAGCGGAAGGCCCUUCGGGGUACUCGAGCGGCGAACGGGUGAGUAACACGUGAGCAACCUGCCCCAGGCUUUGGGAUAACCCCGGGAAACCGGGGCUAAUACCGGAUAUGACCUUCGGACGCAUGUUCGGGGGUGGAAAGUUUUUCGGCUUGGGAUGGGCUCGCGGCCUAUCAGCUUGUUGGUGGGGUGAUGGCCUACCAAGGCGACGACGGGUAGCCGGCCUGAGAGGGCGACCGGCCACACUGGGACUGAGACACGGCCCAGACUCCUACGGGAGGCAGCAGUGGGGAAUAUUGCACAAUGGGCGGAAGCCUGAUGCAGCGACGCCGCGUGAGGGAUGACGGCCUUCGGGUUGUAAACCUCUUUCAGCAGGGACGAAGCGCAAGUGACGGUACCUGCAGAAGAAGCGCCGGCCAACUACGUGCCAGCAGCCGCGGUAAGACGUAGGGCGCGAGCGUUGUCCGGAUUUAUUGGGCGUAAAGAGCUCGUAGGCGGCUUGUCGCGUCGACUGUGAAAACCCGUGGCUCAACUGCGGGCCUGCAGUCGAUACGGGCAGGCUAGAGUUCGGUAGGGGAGACUGGAAUUCCUGGUGUAGCGGUGAAAUGCGCAGAUAUCAGGAGGAACACCGGUGGCGAAGGCGGGUCUCUGGGCCGAUACUGACGCUGAGGAGCGAAAGCGUGGGGAGCGAACAGGAUUAGAUACCCUGGUAGUCCACGCUGUAAACGUUGGGCGCUAGGUGUGGGGGGCCUCUCCGGUUCUCUGUGCC